rnacentral:sRNA from 1 species
AUGUGAAGGUGAUCUGGCUGCGACAUCUGUCACCCCACUGACAGCCAGGGUUGAUUUGGCUGAUCUGGCUGGCUAGGCGGGNCCCCCCCGCCCCAGUU